AUUAGAGAUGGCAGGGUGCCUUUAAAGGCAGAUCCUUUCAGUGAAUUCCCCUUUCGUGAUGACAGAGUGUUUCUGUUAGCAGUUCUGCUGAUUUUUACACUCUAGUUCUGAUCAAGAGGCACAGAUGAUGGGGUAGUUAAUAACAAAAAUUUUGUCUUGUAUGCUAAGCCUCCUACAACUCAUGGGAAACUUCAGUGAUGCUUAAUUUUUCUGUUGCACUUUUCCCUCAGUAGAUCUCCGUGGGCCUUACUAAGAAGUACAUGUUUUUAUCCUUGUUUUGCAUCUGGAAAAGUGAUGAUGUCCUGAAAGCAAAGUGAACUUAGGUAUGGUCAUCCAUCAGGCAUUUGAUAGCACCAGGAGUAAAAUGCAGAUCUUCAAGAGUCUCAGAGCUGGCAUCAGAGCCCGAGAAGCACCCUUGAUCUUGCUGCAGCUAUCAACACGUACCAGAGUGGAAUGUGCUGGCUUCCUGAUAUGGAUCUAA
rnacentral:lncRNA from 1 species